rnacentral:rRNA from 1 species
UACGAAGGGAGCUAGCGUUGUUCGGAAUCACUGGGCGUAAAGCGCACGUAGGCGGACGUGUCAGUCAGGGGUGAAAUCCCGGAGCUCAACUUCGGAACUGCCUUUGAUACAGCACGUCUUGAGUCCGGAAGAGGUGGGUGGAAUUCCUAGUGUAGAGGUGAAAUUCGUAGAUAUUAGGAAGAACACCGGUGGCGAAGGCGGCCCACUGGUCCGGUACUGACGCUGAGACGCGAAAGCGUGGGGAGCAAACAGG